UAGGGAAUAUUGCACAAUGAGCGAAAGCUUGAUGCAGCAACGCCGCGUGCGCGAUGACGGCCUUCGGGUUGUAAAGCGCUUUUCGGGGAGAUGAGGAAGGACAGUAUCCCGGAAUAAGUCUCGGCUAACUACGUGCCAGCAGCCGCGGUAACACGUAGGAGGCAAGCGUUAUCCGAAUUUACUGGGCGUAAAGCGCGUGCAGGCGGUUCGGUAAGUUGGAUGUGAAAUCUCCCGGCUCAACUGGGAGAGGACGUUCAAUACUGUCGGACUUGAGGACGAUAGAGGGAGGUGGAAUUCCCGGUGUAGUGGUGAAAUGCGUAGAUAUCGGGAGGAACACCAGUGGCGAAAGCGGCCUCCUGGAUCGUUCCUGACGCUCAGACGCGAAAGCUAGGGGAGCGAACGG
rnacentral:rRNA from 1 species